rnacentral:rRNA from 1 species
CCUACGGGUGGCAGCAGUGAGGAAUAUUGGUCAAUGGUCGGGAGACUGAACCAGCCAAGCCGCGUGAGGGAUGAAGGUACAGAGUAUCGUAAACCUCUUUUGUCAGGGAACAAAGGCGGGGACGUGUCCCCGGAUGAGAGUACCUGAAGAAAAGGCAUCGGCUAACUCCGUGCCAGCAGCCGCGGUAAUACGGAGGAUGCGAGCGUUAUCCGGAUUUAUUGGGUUUAAAGGGGGGGCAGGCGGUCUGUUAAGUCAGCGGUAAAAGCCCGGGGCCCAACCCCGGCCCGCCGUUGAAACUGGCAGUCUAGAGUUGGAGAGAAGUAUGCGGAAUGUGCGGUGUAGCGGUGAAAUGCAGAGAUAUCGCGCAGAACUCCGAUUGCGAAGGCAGCAUGCCGGCUCCACACUGACGCUGAGGCACGAAAGCGUGGGUAUCGAACAGGAUUAGAUACCCGAGUAGUC